GGAGGGGGCAGGUUUCCCUGGUGAACUGAUUGCUGGGCUCGUGGAUCUCAGUUUAAGGCCAAAGGGCAGCAGGUGAGGGAGCCUUUAGAGUCUCCUUCCGGUUGCCCGUCCCACUCGGCCGAGCCCAGACCUGCACCUCCUCUUUCAGCUCUGCCAUCCCAUGAAUUUUCUCAUCACCUCAGUGAGAUGAAAGGGCUGAGCCUGCCAGAGUCAAGGCACUUUAUCCAGACCACAAAACCCAGCUCUGCAUCUGGUUGCAAAAUUUCCAGCUCUGGCUUCACAAGUGAUAGUGGCCUGGUGAAGACUCCUGCCUCAGCAGGUGGUCCGACCCCACCGAACCUGCCAAGCUUUCUUACCACUGUGACACCCGACCAGUCUGCAAAUCCACAUUCAGUGCUGAAGGGACCCCUGUUUCCUCUGGAGGCAUCUUGGCCCAAAGAGUCCCAGGUGCCCUGAAAACAACCCCAAAUGUCCGGAUUCUUCCUGGGGCAUCCCCCAAAAGCAUCAUCAACCCCAUGUCUGAGCCUGGAGCCUGAAGCCUUGGAGCUGCACAUGGGACCAGAAGGUGCCAGCUGUGACACUGGGGACUUGUCUGGCCAGGUUGUGAUCUCCAAAUACAGCUCUUAUCACAGUCCCAGCAGUGACAGAGACAAGCUCUUAACCAGGCAGCCACGAGGAAACUCCAUGAGAGCUUUCUUGAUAUCAAUAAACUUUUCCUAAUUCACCAGACCUGGGUUUGAUUAGGCUUCCAUAGCCUGGUGUGGUACUGAAACAGAGGCUUCUGUGGAAAGGCAAGGGGGAAGUUUCACUAGGUCUCUUGAAUGAAAAAAGCAUAAGGAUUAGCACAGCCAACAGCCAAAAUAACACCAAAUUCCACCAUCCAUUCAUCAGCACCAGCCCCUAUCCAGAUACCUAAACCCUUGACAAUCAGGGGCUUGAAAAUUUCCAGCAUGUGAAUCAAAACAGAUAGUGUGUGGGUCCCAGCUCCUGCCUCUGGAAGAACACAAGGCAAUCUGAAACCCAGUGAAACGCUCAAGCAUUCUAAAUGAUCUGCCAACCAACCAGGCUGCAAAUCCACAUCCAAUGCUGAAGGGACACUUGUUUUCUUCUGCCUGACAUGAGGCAUCUUGGAGCAGAGUCACCAGAGCCUGGAAAGCCAUGCCAAACCUCUGGGUGCUUGCUGGAGGUUCUACCAAAACCACCAUCAACCUCACCUCUGAGCCUGCAUUCACAGCUUUGAAGCUGCGCAGGGGUCAAGAAGGUACUCUGGCUCUAUCUUGGGGACAUCUGCUCUAACAGCAACUCUCAGGCUUUCCUCCUCUCUGGUUCAGCAGCCCCCAGGGCUCUAUUGGCCUUGGGCAAUAUGCGGGUCAGCUUUCCUUCCCCCUCUUUCUUUAUUACUGAGAAGCACCUGCCAAUAUGGGCUAUAUCUCUCUCAAAGUCUUUCAGAGCAGUGAGCCCAACCUAACUCUAAUUCUAACCCUAACCCUCUAAUCCUAACCCCCAAACACAAACCCUAAGCCUCUAACCCUGACCUCUCACCCCAAGCCAAACCCUAACACUGAACCUGAUCCCAAAGCCCAACCAGAACCCAAACCCUGACCCCUAACCCUAAACCCUAACCCCUAAACCUAACCCCAACCCUAAACCCUAACCCAUCAGGUGCCUAUGGUUGUGGGAAAUGGGCCUUUCUCCUCAGGUUCUGUACAAAGAACAUGUGGAGUCCCGAGGGUCAAGGUAGACGUGGGGCUGCAGUUCUAGCUCAUUUUCUAAUUUUAACUGGCUCAUGAGUGGGAGACUAUUUCAAGAAGACUCUCCUCAUGAGAGGAAUCCUGUAAGUAGGGAGAAGAGGGGAGGUGGGUGGAAACAGGGGCCGGGUAUCCUGGUGCAUUGGAAGCCUCUGGAAGACCCAUUGGAGGGAGGCUGCACGGAGAAAUGUCCAGGGGCACAGACCUGCCCAGGAGCUGCUGUUAGUUCAGAUACUGCUCUAAGGUGCUCAGGGUCCGCUCUAACAAGGGGGGCUGGGGGAGGGUCUGCAGUGAAGUCUCUGUAUAUGGUUCCUGUGUGCUGAUCACUGUCAGGGUGCCUGCCCAGGUGAGCUCCAUAUCCUGGGAGGAGCCUGCCCUUGUGAGCCCCGGGUGAUGAUGGGUGAUUGCCCAGGUGAGCUCCAUAUCCAAGGCAUGACCUGCCCUCAUGAGCCCCAGGGGCUUAUGGGUGAUUGCCCAGGUGAGCUCCAUAUUCUGGGCAGGGCCUGCCUUCAUAAGCCCUGGGAACUGGGAGGGGCUUGUGAACAAGCAUCCUUUGCAUUUGGCACAGAGUUGUUUAGUGUGAUUCUCCUGGGGGCAUUGCUGGAAUGAAAUGAGAACCAGAAAGUGCUACACGUUCUUGGACCCCCACCCAGACUCAUCCAGAGUGACAAGGUCAGUAGGAGUUCUCCCCGAAUUCUUUCUUCUCCUUCCAUCUGAACCUCUAUAUCCUGUCUGCAAUCAUUGUUUCAAGGAGCACAACUAAGAGAAGAUCCUGAGAGUGAAGGCAGCUGGGACUGAUUUAAAGAAGGCUCUCAGUACCCAAUGGUGGGGAUAUGUGUUGGGGUGGGGAACACUUAAAUCCACUCUUGCGGUGGGAGUAGGAUUCUUCACUGUCACCCUGGAUACUCAACCUUCAUGACACAAGCCCACACCCUGAAAUCAAAGACCCAGCUCUGUAAGUCACUUCAGCCAGCUCUGAAGUAAUCAGCACCCUUAAGCCCUGGGACCCAGAUAGAAGCCAAGGGCCACCUAGGC